rnacentral:rRNA from 1 species
CCUACGGGAGGCAGCAGUGGGGAAUAUUGCACAAUGGGGGAAACCCUGAUGCAGCGACGCCGCGUGGGUGACGAAGUAUUUCGGUAUGUAAAGCCCUAUCAGCAGGGAAGAAGAUGACAGUACCUGACCAAGAAGCCCCGGCUAACUACGUGCCAGCAGCCGCGGUAAUACGUAGGGGGCAAGCGUUAUCCGGAUUUACUGGGUGUAAAGGGAGCGUAGGUGGCAUGGCAAGCCAGAAGUGAAAACCCGGGGCUUAACCCCGCGGAUUGCUUUUGGAACUGUCAGGCUGGAGUGCAGGAGGGGCAGGUGGAAUUCCUGGUGUAGCGGUGAAAUGCGUAGAUAUCAGGAGGAACACCGGUGGCGAAGGCGGCCUGCUGGACUGUAACUGACACUGAGGCUCGAAAGCGUGGGGAGCAAACAGGAUUAGAUACCCCAGUAGUC